AAACUUUCAACAGUGGAUCUCUUGGUUCCGGAAUCGAUGAAGAACGCAGCGAAAUGGGAUAACUAAUGUGAAUUGCAGAAUUCAGUGAAUCAUCGAGUCUUUGAACGCACGUUGCGCCCCCUGGUAUUCCGGGGGGAAUGCCUGUCCGAGCGUCAUUG
rnacentral:rRNA from 1 species